rnacentral:rRNA from 1 species
AUUGAACGCUGGCGGCAUGCUUUACACAUGCAAGUCGAACGAGUGGCGAACGGGUGAGUCACAUAUCGGAACGUACCGAGUAAUGGGGGAUAACUAAUCGAAAGAUUAGCUAAUACCGCAUCUUAUUAGGGCGGCCGAUAUCAGUUUAUCUGGUUGGUGGGGUAAAGGCCUACCAAGGCGACGAUCAGUAGCGGGUCUGAGAGGAUGAUCGGCCAUCCCGGGACUUAGACACGGCCAAGACUCCUACGUGAGGCAGCAGUGGGGAAUUUUGGAAAAUGGGCGCAAGUCUGAUCCAGCCAUGCCGCGUGUCUUAAGAAGGCCUUCGGAUUGUAAAGGACUUUUGUCAGGGAAGCGGUACCUGAAGAAUAAGCACCGGCUAACUACGUGCCAGCAGCCGCGGUAAUAC